ACCGCUGGGGAGAAGUUCUGAUAUCUACGGGAAGGGAAAAGCUUGUGUGUUCUAGACACCCUAUCCCUCUGGGCAGGAAGUAGAGAAAUCUGACCACACGAUUCUAUUGGUUCACAUAUUAGAACAUUCUGGAAGGUUCCAAAUGAAGCUAGCAAGUGAUGGUACCUUGUGGGACUGGGGAGGGAAAGGAUGGGGCAGAAGUGAGGCUUUGGACACUAUAUAUCUGCAUAUAAUUCAGACUCACCAUACACAUGAGGGUAUUGCUGAUCCCACACCCAAAUUCUACAUCACCAUAGAAACCAUGUGCUAAAAUCUCUGAGCAUUACCUUCUUUCCUAGAUGAGGUGGUGGUACAUGUCCCAUGUUCCAACUACUCAUGUGUGCUAGGUAAACGCUCAGAGAAGUGGGCAUUUGUGUGCCCAGAGAAACAAAAAGAGGCUGGGAGGAGGGGAUGAGGUGAGGAGGACGAGAAGGACAGAGGUGGAGAAGAGGCUGAGAUGUGAGAGGGCAUGGAUGAUGGAGACAACAAAGAAGAGGGCGAGAGGAAGCUUUCCAGGCUGACCUCUCCAGAAAGGGACAAAGUGGGAGACUCGCUGGGCCACUGACCUAGGAUCCGAGCCUUGGUCAAAUCACUCAUGUCAACAGACCUCUUUCUCUAGCCCCUUUCCUCAAAUACCCUGGUCUAAAGCAAACACUCGAGUCUGCCAAGCAUUCUACAGUGUCUACAGGUGGGCGGGGACACAAACUGUCACCUUUGACACCUAUUUGGAGCUCUGAGGAACAAGAAGGGGUCCUAGAAUGUGGGAUAGAGGAAACCACUGGAAGACAAAGGCCCAGCAAAGUCAGUGGCUGACCAUAUAACACCAAGGGGGUAGCAAGGGCCCCAGGAUCAGGGAAAAGAGAGGGGUCCAGACCAAGCUUGUGAUUCUCUGUCAUAACACCUGAUAAGUAAGUGGACCCCAGACCCAGGUAUGACCAACCUGACCACCACCCCGUUCUGUCUCCUUCCUUGGCUCAGGGCUGCUACCUGGAAAAGCUAUGACUUAGCUCACAUGCUCACCGGUCACUGCUCCAGACUUCUACACUAAUUGAAUGUCUAGUGGCCCGGGACAGACUGGGAGGGCCGGGCUUGGGAAUCCCCCUGGACUCCACACCCCACAAACUCCAGAAGCACACAGCUGAAAGAAUGAAAGCGUUUUUUCAUGGAAUUCCAACAGGAAACCCACGAGAACAUUCCUGCCCAGAUGAUUCCAACAGGAAAACCACGAGAACAUUCUUGCUGGUGAACUCCAGCAGGGAGCUGGCGGCCAUACAACCUGAAGGAGGCUGAGGCAGCUGCAUCUCCUGUUCUGCCAUUGGUCUUGCUGAUAAGACCGUACGAGGACACGGGGCAUGGGAAAGACUUGCUCUUGGGGCUACACAGACGGCUCAGUGGAUAAAGUGACUGCUGCACGAACGUAACGGCCUGUGCUUGGAUCCCAGCACCCACAUAAGAAGCCAAAUGCAUCUGCACAAGUCUGUGAUCCCAGCAGUAGGGCAGUGACGUUGGGGAUCCCUGGGGCUUGCUGGCCAACCAGCCCAGCUGAAUUGGUGAGCUCCAGCUUCAGUAAUAGACCAUGCCUGCCUCUGAAUAAAUAAAUAAAUAAUAAAUAAACAAUAAACAAACAAAUAAACA